rnacentral:rRNA from 1 species
ACAAGCGGUGGAGCAUGUGGUUAAUUCGAAGCAACGCGAAGAACCUUACCAGGUCUUGACAUCCCUGACAACCCGAGAGAUCCGGGCGGUUCCCCCUUCGGGGGGACAGGGUGACAGGUGGUGCAUGGUUGUCGUCAGCUCGUGUCGUGAGAUGUUGGGUUAAGUCCCGCAACGAGCGCAACCCUCGACCUUAGUUGCCAGCAUUCAGUUGGGCACUCUAAGGUGACUGCCGGCUAAAAGUCGGAGGAAGGUGGGGAUGACGUCAAAUCAUCAUGCCCCUUAUGUCCUGGGCUACACACGUACUACAAUGGCAACAACAAAGAGCAGCAAGUCCGCGAGGCCAAGCGAAUCUCAAAAUGUUGUCCCAGUUCGGAUUGCAGGCUGCAACUCGCCUGCAUGAAGUCGGAAUUGCUAGUAAUGGCAGGUCAGCAUACUGCCGUCGAAUACGUUCCCGGGCCUU